GGUUUGCUCAGGUGGUUAGAGCAUCAUGCUGAUAACACCAAGGUUGCAGGUUCAAUCCCCAUAUGGGACA